rnacentral:rRNA from 1 species
CGUAGGAGGCAAGCGUUAUCCGGAUUCACUGGGCGUAAAGCGCGUGCAGGCGGUGCGGUAAGUUAGGCGUGAAAUCUCCCGGCUCAACUGGGAGAGGUCGUCUAAUACUACCGUACUUGAGAGCAGAAGAGGAAGAUGGAAUUCCCGGUGUAGUGGUGAAAUGCGUAGAUAUCGGGAGGAACACCAGUGGCGAAGGCGAUCUUCUGGUCUGUUUCUGACGCUCAGACGCGACAGCUAGGGUAGUAAACGGGAUUAGAGACCCCGGUAAUCCUAGCCGUAAACGAUGUGAACUUGGCGUUGGUGGGUUAAACUCCAUCAGUGCCGCAGCAAACGCGAUAAGUUCACCGCCUGGGGACUACGGCCGCAAGGUUA